CUUUUUCUUCGAUUUGAACUCUCAGAAAAAAUAACGCUGUUAUCCCUAAGGUAAUUUUCUCUUUUAAUCUUAAUUAAAGGAUCAUUUAAACCACUUAUUAAUGUUCAAAAACAAAAAAAGUUUAUUUAAUUUUUCAAUCACCCCAACCAAAUAAAUAUUUAAUAGAAAAAAUAAAAUUCUAUAAUUUAAGAUUCUAAAAAAUACUUAUUAAACUCUAUAGGGUCUUCUCGUCUUUUAUAAAUAUUUAAGCUUUUUUACUUAAAAAUAAAUUUCUAUAUUUUAAACUGAGACAGUUAGCUUUUCAUCAAACCUUUCAUUCCAGCUUCUAAUUAAGAAACUAUUGAUUAUGCUACCUUAGCACGGUCAAAAUACCGCGGCCGUUAA
rnacentral:rRNA from 1 species